CUCGUUGUGUACAUGUGUUUGCUCCAGCGCCCUUUGUGUGGAUUUACCCUGUGUUUUUUGGAUCAAAGACUGUUUACAUUUCCUCAUGCCUCCUGCGUGCUCCUUCCUACAGCGUACCGUGACAGAAGACACAACCAACCUCCAAAGCUCGGACUCCGCCUCGGCCCGUAGACCCAUCAGCUCCACCUCGGCUACUAGCUCCCUCGCCUCCACCGUCAACUGUUAAUCCUCCAGCUCCACUGGGCUCCCUUGUCCCUCUGGCUCCACCUUAGUCGGGUGUCGACUCGCCAUUGUCUCCGCUCCUCCUGCUGCACCUCGUCGCAGGUCGCCAGAGCCC
ensembl:lncRNA